AUCCUGCCACACCCUGCCCUUCCAAGCCCCAACACCCUGCCACACCCUGCCCUUCCAAGCCCCAACAUAAAAAGAACAUAAGAACAUAGGGAAACUGCAAGAGGCCGGGUGGCCUACACUGGACCCUCUUAUCCCAUGAGCCCUGACUUUAUUUAACAGUCUCUGGUGAGGUACCUUAUCGAAGGCCUUACUAAAAUCAAGAUAAACCACAUCAUAGCUCUCAUCAUUGUCAGCUGCCCGUAUACUCUAUUGUAAAAGGAUAUAAGAUUAGUAAGGCACGACUUUCCUUCAGUAAACCCAUGCUGUGAGUCAUGAAUUAAAAUAUGUCUGUCAUAUAAACUGCCUGCUAAAUGUUACCAUUCAUCAUUUUCCUUUCUUCUCAGGUGGCGGCCCAGCACAAAAGACACAUUAUUCAGUGGCGGAAGAAAUUGUGCUGGGCUUAAUUCCUGUGGAGGCCAUCAUGGGCCAUCGUGGGAUUCCAAACCCGGACCAAUUGGCACUGACACAGGAAUACCAGGAUGCUGCAACACCUGUAGAGGAGGAGGAGGAGGAAGAGGAGUGGAGGCAGGUGCAGCCCACCACCGAGGUUAUACCAGUGGAUAUGCCUGCGGCCCUUAAUGACCAUUUAUAUGUGGCAUUUAUGGG